CCUACGGGAGGCAGCAGUGGGGAAUCUUGCGCAAUGGGCGAAAGCCUGACGCAGCCACGCCGCGUGCGGGAUGAAGGCCCUAGGGUUGUAAACCGCUUUUAACAGGAACGAAAAUGACGGUACCUGUAGAAUAAGGUGCGGCCAACUACGUGCCAGCAGCCGCGGUGACACGUAGGCACCAAGCGUUGUCCGGAUUUAUUGGGCGUAAAGAGCUCGUAGGCGGUUCAGUAAGUCGGGUGUGAAAACUCUGGGCUUAACCCAGAGACGCCACUCGAUACUAUUGUGACUAGAGUUCGGUAGGGGAGCGGGGAAUUCCUAGUGUAGCGGUGAAAUGCGCAGAUAUUAGGAGGAACACCGGUGGCGAAGGCGCCGCUCUGGGCCGAUACUGACGCUGAGGAGCGAAAGCGUGGGUAGCAAACAGGAUUAGAUACCCUGGUAGUCCACGCCGUAAACGGUGGGCACUAGGUGUGGGUUCCAACCAACGGAAUCCGCGCCGUCGCUAACGCAUUAAGUGCCCCGCCUGGGGAGUACGGCCGCAAGGUUAAAACUCAAAGAUANCGCGNGNGAGCGCGACGACGACGACGACGGAGGAGG
rnacentral:rRNA from 1 species